GAUGAAGAACGCAGCGAACUGCGAUAAGUAAUGUGAAUUGCAGAAUUCAGUGAAUCAUCGAGUCUUUGAACGCACAUUGCGCCCCCUGGCAUUCCGAGGGGCAUGCCUGUCCGAGCGUCAUUGCUGCCCUUCAAGCCCGGCUUGUGUGUUGGGUCGUCGUCCCCCCCGGGGGACGGGCCCGAAAGGCAGCGGCGGCACCGCGUCCGGUCCUCGAGCGUAUGGGGCUUUGUCACCCGCUCGAUUAGGGCCGGCCGGGCGCCAGCCGGCGUCUCCAACCUUCUAUUUUACCAGGUUGACCUCGGAUCAGGUAGGGAUACCCGCUGAACUUAAGCAUAUCAAUAAGCGGAGGA
rnacentral:misc_RNA from 1 species